AUCCUGACAGAAGAUGGACUGAUGAAACUCUGUGACUAAAAUCACACAUUGGACUGAGCAUGUCUGUGAGCGAAGAGUGAUAUCUUACUUUCGGUUUUGCACAUCUGAAAAUCUGAAAGGACUGUUGAGGGUGUUAUGGAUGUAAUGAGUCUUUCUGGACUCAAAUUGAAGUAUUCUGCUAUGAGACUUGCCACCCUUCACUUAUUCAUAAUACUUUCCCAUUGUCAGACACCCCCAUCCCCAUCGCUUCCAGUCCGGGUCACUGUUCCAUCAUCAUGGCAGUCUCUCCCCCUCUCUCAGGCUGAUCUGGGGCUUCUCUUCACCAAUUCCAGCCCCUUCACCUCCACCCAGUCCCUGUUGCUCAUGCCUCCAUCUGGAAUGGCCUCCAAACCGCUUCUCCACGCUACAUUUGGUUCCUAUACCAUCACACAGGUAUUGCAGUCUCGAUUAUGGUUAAUGACUUUUAUAUCAUCUUCAAAGAUAAAGUUAAGUUACUUAUUCUGUUCUACCACUUCUUUUCUUCUCAAGGUGAUGUCUGAACCCAUUCCUCCCCUGACUC
rnacentral:lncRNA from 1 species